GGAGGCCGAGACAGGAGAAUCACUUGAACCCAGGGGGUGGAGGUUGCAGUGAGCCAUCACACCACUGCAUUCCCUGGGUGCAAUGUGAGAUGCCCUCUAGGUGACAGAGCAAGACUCUGUCAAAAAAUAAAAUAAAAUAAAAUAACAGACAUGAAGUAUUGAGCUUGAUGUCUAACACUCAGUGGGGCUUACUAUGUGGAAACUCCAUGUGGAUUGCACCUCAUCCUUUCUUCACUGGACCAGCGCUAUUAGCACCAAUUCACCAGCUACUAUCAUCUGAAGGUACCCAUUGAUCAUGCAAGUUACCUUCUCUGGGCAGGCAAUCCACAUCUUUAUGGUAUUGAGUUUAUGGCAGACCAUACAGAGAGGUAAUAUAGUAGUUUUCUACUGCUGCUGAAACAAAUCAUCAAAAGUUUAGCCUCUUACAAUACAAAUUUAUUCUCCUGACACUUCUGGCAGUCACAAAUCCAAAAUACGUUUUUGGGGCUAAAAUCAAGGGGUUGGCAGGGUUGCAUUCCUUCUCAGUCUCUGGGAAGAAUUUGUUUUGUUGUCUUUUCCAGUUUCUAUGUGCCUCCUACAUUCCUUGGCUUAUGAUCCCUUCUCCAUCCUCAAAGCGAGCAGUAUAAAAUCUUCUCUCCCUCCUCUUUUCUUCCUCCUUCUUAUAAGAAUCUUUGUGAUUAUAUCAGGCCCAUCUGGAUGAAUCAGAAUAAUCUCCCAUCUCAGGAUCCUUCAUUUAAUCACAUCUGUGAAGUCCCUUGUGUUGUGUAAGACAUUUUCAAAGAUUCUGGGGAUUAAGAUAUGGACAUUGUUGGGGCCAAUUAUUUAGCCUACUACAGGUAGGAAGCAAGGGAAAACUUCUCAAGGACUCAUUUAGUGAUGGUGGCGUUUGAAGGUGGUGGUGGCUGGGGUAUUGAGGAGGAAACAGGCCAAACUGGAAAUAAAAGAUGAUUUUUGGCCCUGGGUGUAAUUGAAUUGGCAUAUUUUGAGGGGAUGGGAUUCAAGGAAAUUAGCUUCACUGAGAGCUGAAAAAGAUUCAGGGAUUUUGCUUUCUAAAAAGCAAAAUUGGGAGUAUAAUUGUGGUGCGUAGGGGAAGAGCAAGGGGAGUUAGUGAUGGUUGAAAUAAUACAAUGUACGAAUAGUUUCAUUACUAAAGCAUAUCAUUCUCUGGAUAUUGAUGGAUAUCAUUCAAUUGGCUGUAGUUGAUGUAGCAGAAAAGAGUCAUCCAUUGAUUCUAUUGAUUCUAUUGAAAUUUUUAGGCAGAUAACUUAUAUUAUUUUGAUGAAAAUAUCAAUGCUGAUAUUAGCAAUAGAUACCUGAGAAGAAGCAAUUAAAAAAACUAAAGAUGUGUAGUUUGGCAGAAUGAUUAUCAAUAUAGUCAUCUGUGUGAACUGCUUACCUUCAGUUCCCUUGUGGCACAAUAGCACGAAAGAAAGUCAGGGUAAUGUGAGUUUUAUUUUAUAAGGGCUGUUAAGUCUACAUAGGUUUGCUUAGUCAUCAUGGUCGCUGUUUUGUGUCAUGCCCAUUCACUUAUAAUUUAAAGAAAAAGUAAAGGGAACAUGUUUCUUUCUCAACACUUUUGCUUUUGGCAACCUCUUGUUGCUUUUACUACUAAUGAGAGAAAUUCCAGUUCUUUAAGAGUUAAUUUUAAAACAAAACUUUGCCCGCAUCUUUCCAAUUCCUGGAAUACCAUUCACAGGAGCACAGCACAAUAAAUAAUUCUGUUCAUGCAGGUGAUAAAUGCUGUUGAGGGCUCCGCUUGCUAACCAUUUAAGAAAUACAGAUUUACAUACUUUCAAGGCAUAUCCGUGAAAAUGUCAGUUCUUUAACUAAACACUCAUCUACACAGCCUUUCUGCUAAAGUGAGCACCACCUGAGUGACUUGCCCACACUCUGAGCUCUUCUUGCCUCCAAAUGAAUUGGUGAUUGUUCCCUUCCUGCCUCCAGUGUGUUGGUUACUGUUGCCAUCCUUAUCAAAGGUAAGGGUCCAGGCCCACCAGCUUGGAGUUAUCUGUGUCUCCUUCCCUUUCCUUAGGCUCUUGUGGUAAAUGCUGCCAAUUCUAUCUUCACAACCCCUCUGGUGUUCUUUCCUUUCUUCUCCUUUCAUCACCAUUGCCUCUUACCUGCUGACAUCAAAUCACAUCCUAACUGACCUCAUUGCCUAAGCCUUUGCUCCCUCAUAUCCAGCUAAAGAUCUACUGCAAGAAUGAUAGCCCUGAAGCCCUGUUCCAGUCAGCUCAUUCAUGGUCAGGGAAUUUUCAACAGCUUCCCAUUGCUUUGCAUAAAAGGCAAACACCACCACCUAGCAGGCAAGGGCCUCAGAUCUACUUUUCCAGAUUUUUAUUUCAAUAGUUUCCUUUAUACUGUUUAUUUUGUAAAGCAGGACUAUAUGUUGUCCCCAAAUUUCUUUUCUUUCCUUUCCUUUCUUUUCUUUUUUAUUUUAUUUUUUUUUAAAUAGAGACAGGGUCUCACCAUGUUGCCCAGGCUGGUCUUGAGCUCCUGGGCUCAAGCGAUCUGCCCACCUUGGCCUCCCAAAAUGCUGGAGUUACAGGCGUGAGCCACUGCACCUGGCUAUUAACCCCAAAUUUAUUCUGUGUCUUUCUCUCUUUACCUUCAGACUUUGCGAUGUGCUGCUCUUUAAUGUGAAAUGCCCAACUCUUGUCCCAAACACACAUAUCCACUUGUGAAAAUCUAACCUAUCAUCAAAAGUACAUCUCAGAUGAUAGGUAUUUCUUGAAUAAAGUCUUUCAUCUUUGCAUUGCCAUAGAGUUUGUUUUACAUCUUUCUUAUGACAGCACUCACAUUCAAACCGUAGUUAUAUUUAUGUGUAUACUUGUCUCUCCACCAGAUGGGUAGUAAGACUCUUAAAAUCAGAGUCCGAAUUUUAUCAGUCCUAGGAGUCUUCCAUUCUCUUCAGUAGAUAAUCAAACACUUUUGUUAAAUAUUGGAAUGAAUAAGCAAGUGACUUAUUUUGUCGAUUUAUUUCUACAGAACAUUAGUGAUGUGGUGAACAAACACUUUGAGCACAUCCAAAAUAAAAACCAUCUGGAACUAAAGUAACAGAAUUUUUAAUCAGCUACACUGCUAUAAUACACACUGAGCUAUGAAAAAUCUUAUGCUGGAAAAGGUGCCAGAAUCUUAGUACACUAUUUUCAGGAAAGAGAUACCAUUUCUUUCCCUAAGAUAUGACCUCGUCUUAGUACCAGAAAUGUGAAACCUAACUGGAGAAUAAAUAAGUUUCAAUUUUUAAUAGCUCAUAACUCUGACAGGGCUGGGAGUAUCAAAUUAACUUGAGCAUUAUCCACCCUGCAGUGCCAGCUGAGGGGCACGUGGAGAGAAAGGUGCUGAGGGUGGGUGUGGGUGCUCAGCUUCUAGACGGUACUGGCAGCAACAGCUGCCGCUUGGCUCUGGAGGCAGCCCUCUGCUCUCCCUCUGUGGGCAAGAGGUCCAGGAUGAGAUGGGGAGGUGGGUGGUCAGAUGGGGCAGGGGCUUAAGAGGAGGCCUCAGGCCCUGGUUGGAGAUACAGCUGAGCUGUAUGAAGCAGAGCAAUUAGUUAUGGCAUCACCGGUAUAUAAAAGGGUGAGGGAAUCUCAGAAUUGAGUUAUAAUACCUGCUUGUGAGACGAUAUUACAUUAAUGAUGACAAAGGGUGACUUCUAUGAACUUCCAGAAACAAAGGAUUAUCUGGGGAGUAAACUUAACAGGCGCUUCAUUUCAGAACAACAUGAAAAAAUUACAGGCACAUAAAUCUAGAAGUAGGUAGCUCCGUCUCUACCAUAAUGGAUGAUGAAAGGUGAGAUUAAAUGAUUCUGAACUUUGCCUGACAUGAUAAACCUCUAUGACUUAAGAAAGUGAGCACUGCUUGGCUGGACAGAGCCUCCCUAAUAUUAUUAUGGUAAAAGGAAUUUCUCACAUUGCAGGCUGGGGAAGCCAAAUAUGGACUUUGUGCCACAGUGUUCUGCACCCGUUCGUCACAGAGCUUUUGCUUUAAAAUGAGCAUUUGGAAGAACUGCGAGGAAACAAAAUCAUGGACGAUGGACCAUAUGCCAUGGUAGAACUAAAGUUCAGACGCGAGCACAGAGAAGACCCAGGUUUUUGGGAGGCCCUCUUUAAAAAAGAAUGCACUUUGUACUCAUCAGACGGCUACUAUGAAACAAAAAGAAAACCAACCAGACAAAAAUACAGCAGAAAACAAGUGUUGGCGAUGAUGUGGAGAAAUGAGAACCCUUGUGCAUUUCUGGUGGGAAUGUAAAGAGCUGUCACCAUUGUGGAAAGCAGUAUGGUGAUUCCUCAAAGAAUUAAACACAGAACUACCUUAUGGUCCAGCAUUCCACUUCUGAGUAUAUAUCUGAAAGAAGUGAGAACAGGGGAUUCUACAGAUAUUUGUACACCUGUAUUCAUAGCAGUGUUAUUCACAAUAUUCCAAAGGUGGAAACAAACCCAGUGUUUAUUGUCAGAUGAAUGAAUAAACAAAAUGUGGUACUAUAUAUACAGUAGUUUCCCCCUUAACCAAAGCUUUGCUUUCCUCUGUUUCAGUUAUGUAUGAUCCACCACAGUCCAAAAUUAUUAAAUGGAAACUUCUAGAAAUAAACAAUACGUUUUCAAUUGCA